rnacentral:rRNA from 1 species
GACGGAAGGUGCAAGCGUUGCUCGGAAUCACUGGGCGUAAAGGGCGCGUAGGCGGCUCGGUAAGUCCGCUGUGAAAGUCCAGGGCUCAACCCUGGAAUGCCGGUGGAUACUGUCGGGCUCGAGUCCGGAAGAGGCGAGUGGAAUUCCUGGUGUAGCGGUGAAAUGCGUAGAUAUCUGGAGGAACACCGGUGGCGAAGGCGGCGUUCUGGACUGCAACUGACACUGAAAAACGAAAGCCAGGGGAGCAAACGGGA